rnacentral:tRNA from 1 species
GUCAAUGUAGCUCAUUGGAAAGAGCGGUCAGAAGCGCGCGACAACAAGGCUGACAGGAAAUGGUUCGAUUCCAUUCUUUGGCA